CUGGUGUGUUUAUGUCCCCGUUACUUAGCGGUUCGGCAAAAGAGACCGAUAGAAUAAGUACUGGGCUUACAAAAGAAUAAGUCCCGGAGUCGAUUUUCUGGACUAAACGUGGUGCUGGAGCAUGGUCGCAGUCAAAUGACUGAAACAAGUAAAAGA